AUAUGAGGCCUCGUAAUCGGAAUGAGUACACUUUAAAUACUUUAACGAGGAACAAUUGGAGGGCAAGUCUGGUGCCAGCAGCCGCGGUAAUUCCAGCUCCAAUAGCGUAUACUAAAAUUGUUGCGGUUAAAAAGCUCGUAGUUGCACCUGUGCGCCGCGCUGUCGGUGCACCGCAUCCGCGGUGACCACUGGCACGUCGCGGGGCAUCACGUCGGUGAGACUCCGGUAAAACGGAGGCUCAAUUGAAACAAUCCUAUCGCGGUGCUCUUAACCGAGUGUCGAGGUGGGCCGACAAUACUUACUUUGAACAAAUUAGAGUGCUCAAAGCGGGCUAAAAACGCCGCUCGAAUAUUUUUUGCAUGGAAUAAUGGAAUACGACCUCGGUUCUAUUUUGUUGGUUCUCGGAAUCCGAGGUAAUGAUUAAUAGGAACAACUGGGGGCAUUCGUAUUGCGACGUUAGAGGUGAAAUUCUUGGAUCGUCGCAAGACGGACUACAGCGAAAGCAUUUGCCAAAGGUGUUUUCAUCAAUCAAGAACGAAAGUUAGAGGUUCGAAGGCGAUUAGAUACCGCCCUAGUUCUAACCAUAAACGUUGCCACCUGGCGAUCCGCCGACGUUACUAUAAUGGCUCGGCGGGCGGCCUCCGGGAAACCAAAGUUUUUGGGCUCCGGGGGGAGUAUGGUUGCAAAGCUGAAACUUAAAGGAA
rnacentral:rRNA from 1 species